UACCAGCCGAGUCACAACCUGGCAGGGACAGUGAGGAUUAGUGGAGUCUUCACGAUGCAAGUGUGCUGAAUUAGUGUGAAGAUAGUAUUGCUGACACUUUUGUAGAAUGGCACAGACAAACAAGAUAGAACUUAGCUGAAAACUUCUUCUUUGGUAACUAGUUUUAUAGGACUGAAAGUGACUCAAGCUGCUGAAGUCAAAAAGCCUUUACCAGUAUCACUGCAGCCAGCACAGCAUGCUUCAGUACUGACCUGCCAGGCAAGCUGUGCUCCUUGGAAUGAAGUUUGUGGGUGUGUCCGACUGCUUUUGGAUUAGAUUUGAGGCCUGUCCAGAGGAAGGAAUUCAGGAGUGCUGCUGUAGAUCCGGUCAAAAGCCCGUGACUUGGGAGGUCAUGGGCCCUAGGGAGGAACCUACUACCAUUGUACUGCUAAAUGGCAUGUUGUCAAACUGUCCUUUAAAUUGUUUACACUGCUAGAUUGAUGCUGCCCUCAACCAUGCCAGAGAAGUUUCACUCCACAAGGGUAAUCUCAUAACUGGUCAAAGUGCUGAGUAUGUGGGACUAUUGACUUAAACUGGACAUCUACAUCAACUCCUGACCUAAGUCAACAGGUCACUCUUCAGUGACAGACUCCUAAGUGGAAGGCCAGGAGAUGAGAUGAAGAAGAUAGAAAAGGUGGGAUCAGGAGGUUUUGCACAACCUGUUUUACACCAAGCAAGUUAAUUAAGAAGUGCCUCAUUGUACACACUGUUUUCAGGAGGAAACUGCACUGAGGGCCUCUGACAAAGCCUUAGGUUUGUGUGGCUCCUCAAAACUCCUCUCUCCAAGGCUCAAGGAAGACCUCAGAGGAUGCGCAGGGAAAACAUGGCAGAGCUGGAGAAUUGGAGGAGUGCUGAGAGACUCCGUCUUCUGCACACACAGGGCAGUUGUGCCCAUGAACUCACUGCAGCUGUGGUUAACCCACAUAAAAUGAAGUCUUCAAGAUCUGUCUGCAGCAGCACUAACCGGACUCAGCAGGUUAUUAAUAAAAGAAAGGAGAGGACACAGAAGCAACACAACCCCAUCAAGCUGCUGAGCCAACAACCCCUCUGUGGACCGGAUCCUCUCCUCAGAUAACUUCUGUCUGCAAAUGGGGAAGAAGGAGGAUGGAGAGAAACAAAGCAAGUUCAUCUAUUGCCCCAGAACACUGUGCAAAGAGGCUACUUAAGUGUAAAUGUGGACUCUGGUUGUGGCAUGGCCACUAAUCAGGUGUCUGUCACAGCAACGCACAGAUGACUGAGAAGGUGGUGAGAUAUGCGGAGGAGGAACUCCAGUCAUGGAAAGGGUUAUAACUCGACUGGAUCAAAUCCAGGACCACCCUCCUGGUCUACUUGCUCUCCAAUUAUUCCCCAUGGUGGUGCUGAAGAUUGUACCUGGAGCCUCGAUGUGCUAGACAAAGCACACUCCCCUGAGCUCCAUCCCCAACCCUAAAAUGAUCUUUUUUGAUCAAGUGUUCUGCUUACUAGUCCUGCUGACCAGCACACCUUUACAAAUCUGUAGUUUGUAAAGAUUUAUUCUCUUUAUUUUAUAUGUAUG
ensembl:lncRNA LOC108350703 uncharacterized LOC108350703